ensembl:rRNA 5S_rRNA 5S ribosomal RNA
GCUUACGGCCAUACCACCCUGAACACGCCCGAUCUCGUCAGAUCUCGGAAGCUAAGCAGGGUCGGGCCUGGUUAGUACUUGGAUGGGAGACCGCCUGGGAAUACCAGGUGCUGUAAGCU